CUGGGGUUGGGGCUCAGCGGUAGAGUGCUCGCCUAGCAUGUGCGAGGCGCUGGGUUCCAUCCUCAGCACCACAUA
rnacentral:tRNA from 1 species